UCGGGAAUAUUGCACAAUGGAGGAAACUCUGAUGCAGUGACGCCGCGUAUAGGAAGAAGGUUUUCGGAUUGUAAACUAUUGUCGUUAGGGAAGAAAAGACAGUACCUAAGGAGGAAGCUCCGGCUAACUACGUGCCAGCAGCCGCGGUAAUACGUAGGGAGCAAGCGUUAUCCGGAUUUAUUGGGUGUAAAGGGUGCGUAGACGGGACAACAAGUUAGUUGUGAAAUCCCACGGCUUAACUGUGGAACUGCAACUAAAACUAUUGUUCUUGAGUGUCGGAGAGGAAAGUGGAAUUCCUAGUGUAGCGGUGAAAUGCGUAGAUAUUAGGAGGAACACCGGUGGCGAAGGCGACUUUCUGGACGAUAACUGACGUUGAGGCACGAAAGUGUGGGGAGCAAACA
rnacentral:rRNA from 1 species